GCCAGGCACGGGGCGCAUGCCUGUAAAUCCCAGGGACUUGGGAGGCUGAGGCAGGAGACUCACAAGUUCAAGGCCACCCUGGGCUACGUAGUGAGACCCUCAGCAACUUUGUGAGACCCGGUCUCAA
rnacentral:sRNA from 1 species